AAAGAAAACCAUGACUUGAUAAUUGAAAGCAAAACCAGUCCGUUAGCGUCCACUUAAAGUUCUGUUGUUGCCGCUGACAUCCUCAGAUUAUUAUUCUAAGUGUCUGACAACAUUAUGGAAAGGAUCCCUACAGAGAUAAACCUUUUGGUUGAAAUAAACACACAGUUCACAGAUUUA